rnacentral:rRNA from 1 species
UACGAGGGGUGCGAGCGUUAAUCGGAGUUACUGGGCGUAAAGGGCGCGUAGGCGGUGAGAUGGGUGUGAUGUGAAAGCCCUGGGCUUAACCUAGGAAGUGCAUCGCAAACUAUCUGACUGGAGUAUAUGAGAGGGUGGCGGAAUUUCCGGUGUAGCGGUGAAAUGCGUAGAGAUCGGAAGGAACGUCGAUGGCGAAGGCAGCCACCUGGCAUAAUACUGACGCUGAGGCGCGAAAGCGUGGGGAGCGAACAGG